rnacentral:rRNA from 1 species
CACGUAGGGCGCGAGCGUUGUCCGGAAUUAUUGGGCGUAAAGAGCUCGUAGGCGGCCUGUUGCGUCCGCUGUGAAAGCCCGGGGCUUAACCCCGGGUCUGCAGUGGAUACGGGCAGGCUAGAGGUAGGUAGGGGAGAAUGGAAUUCCCGGUGGAGCGGUGAAAUGCGUUGAGAUCGGAGGAACACCAAAGGCGAAGGCAGUGUCCUGGGGAGUACCUGACGCUCAGGUGCGAAAGCCAGGGGAGCGAACGGG